GACGAACGCUGGCGGCGUGCCUAAUACAUGCAAGUAGAACGCUGAAGGAGGAGCUUGCUUCUCUGGAUGAGUUGCGAACGGGUGAGUAACGCGUAGGUAACCUGCCUGGUAGCGGGGGAUAACUAUUGGAAACGAUAGCUAAUACCGCAUAAGAGUAGAUGUUGCAUGACAUUUGCUUAAAAGGUGCAAUUGCAUCACUACCAGAUGGACCUGCGUUGUAUUAGCUAGUUGGUGGGGUAACGGCUCACCAAGGCGACGAUACAUAGCCGACCUGAGAGGGGGAUCGGCCACACUGGGACUGAGACACGGCCCAGACUCCUACGGGAGGCAGCAGUAGGGAAUCUUCGGCAAUUGACGGAAGUCUGACCGAGCAACGCCGCGUGAGUGAAGAAGGUUUUCGGAUCGUAAAGCUCUGUUGUAAGAGAAGAACGAGUGUGAGAGUGGAAAGUUCACACUGUGACGGUAUCUUACCAGAAAGGGACGGCUAACUACGUG
rnacentral:rRNA from 1 species